GCCCCCGUAGCUCAGUGGACAGAGCAGCCGCCUUCUAAGCGGUCGGUCGCAGGUUCGAGUCCUGCCGGGGGCGCCA
rnacentral:tRNA from 2 species